AAGGUGGUGAGUGGGUCAAAUCACGGCCCUGAAGGGUGUUUGAAACUGAUGAUUGAGAAUAUGCCCGAAAUGGCGAAGAAGUUAUUAGACAAAUGUGUAACUACUAAAGGAUCGAAAGAAACUCGUGGUUAUCAAGUCAUUUAUGAUUUCUUUUGCCUAGAAGAAACAGGUAUGUGUAUGUCUCAAACAUUAAUAAUUCAUAAGUAAAUUAGCCAAUCAGAGAUUACUUUAUUUUGCUCAUAUGAUAAUACUGGAUACGGUGAAAUUUAAUUCAUUCCUUGGACUGGAUCAAAAUUAAAUCACCUCACUUUAAGUUUGUUCGUAUGAGAUGUCAUAUCAAAUCCGAUAAUUCGGACUUUACCACUUUACCAAGAAAGAAAGAAAGAAAGAAAGAAAGAAAGAAAGAAAGAAAGAAAGAAAGAAAGAAAGAAAGAAAGAAAGAAAGAAAGAAAGGAAGGAAGGAAGGAAGGAAGGAAGGAAGGAAGGAA